rnacentral:tRNA from 1 species
GGAUGUAGCUCAGUGGCAGAGUACUUGCCUAGCAUGCAUGAGGACCUCGGUUUGAUCCUCAGCACUG